UUUUAAUAAAAGCAAGCAUUUCUGGGGCUAGCCCUCCUGGACCAGAGCUCCAUGGUGGGUUGGGGGCUCCGGCCAGGGCUGGCAAGGGUGUAUGUGUGUGUGUGAUGGGAAUUCUUGGGGCCCCUCUUGGGAAUGGAUUUGUCCACCUUCUCCCCCUGCCUCUCCAUCCUGAGGUUGCCAUGGAAGUCUGCAGAGAACUUCUCAUUAAACAAGAAAAAAAGCAGCAGCAGCAACAGGAGGAAAGCAUUUCCCGGAAUCCGGGAGGAAGCGUGAGUCACCAGGCCUGCUAAGUGAGCCCAGCGUGGCCACUGCAGCGCCUGCCCAGGAGGCCUGGGGAGCAGGGCCAGCCGUCAGGACUGCGCCAGGCCUGCCCGCAUAGACAUGCCCACUGCCCAAGCUGACGCAGGCUCCAGGAAUGCAAACAAAGCUGGGUGGAGGGGCCUUCUGAGGGCCAGGGCGCAGGGCCAGGCAGGAGGGAACCGGCCUGGAGGAGAGGCCUGCGGAGGGGCCUCAGGCCCCUGACGAGCCCCUCUCUGGUGUCCUUGGAGCCCAGGCUGCUGGAAAGGUACCCCCUCCUGGUGUGAGUGCCCUGGCACUGCCAGCUCAGGCCUGGCCUCCAAACCCCUCCUUUUGGGGUAGGGACAGGAGUUCCCCUAGGUCAGAGGGUUUCCAAAUUGGUCCCUGGAUCAGUGGCACUGCAUCACCUGGGGACUGGUCAGAAAUGCAGAGUCUCAGGCCCCCACCCCAGCCCUGGUAGAUCAGAAGCGCUGGGGGUAGAGGCCAGAGAGCCGAGAUUUAACAAGCCCUCCCAGGCGACUCCGAUGUGCGCUCAGGUUUGAGGACCGCUGCACUUCAUUUUCUCCAAGUCAGCUUCAAACCCACAUCUGCUGGUUAUUUAUUGACCAAAUUAAGAGGUAAUGCUUAAGGAGCGCCUUCUGUGUGCCAGACCCCAGGCUAACCGCUUGAUGCAUGCUUGCUCAUUCACUCCCCACGUCAACCCCGUGACAUCAUCUUCUGUGAUCAUUUCUCCAUCUUACAGGUGCCAUAAGCACUGCUUUUUAGCCAGAAGCCAGUGUUCUGGGACCUUGUAAGUGAUGGGAGAUCCUGGGCUCAACUCAGAUUUGGCCCAUAUUGAUUAACUGGUUUACAGAGUCGUAUCCAACUCUUUGUGACCCCAUGGAUGUAGCCCCCCAGGCUCCUCUGUCCAUGGGAUUUUCCAGGCCCGCCCUCCAAGGUAUGUGAAAAGAAGUUCUUCAGAGAGGAGGAAAGUAGGUAAGAAACUCAGAUCUGCAUAAGCAAAGGAAGAAUAUCAGAGAAGGAAUAAUGAAGGUCACCAUAGUGCAUUGAGUUUGAACAUUCUCUGGCAUUGCCUUUCUUUGGGGUUGGAAUG